UUGGGAAUAUUGGACAAUGGGCGCAAGCCUGAUCCAGCCAUUCCGCGUGAGUGAUGACGGCCCUAGGGUUGUAAAGCUCUUUCAACGGUGAAGAUAAUGACGGUAACCGUAGAAGAAGCCCCGGCUAACUUCGUGCCAGCAGCCGCGGUAAUACGAAGGGGGCUAGCGUUGUUCGGAAUUACUCGGCGUAAAGCGCACGUAGGCGGAUAGUUAAGUUAGGGGUGAAAUCCCGGGGCUCAACCCCGGAACUGCCUUUAAUACUGGCUAUCUAGAGUUCUCGAGAGGUGAGUGGAAUUCCGAGUGUAGAGGUGAAAGUCGUAGAUAUUCGGAGGAAAACCAGUGGCGAAGGCGGCUCACUGGCGAGAUACUGACGCUGGGGUGCGAAAGUGUGGGGAGCAAACAGGAUUAGAUACCCCCGUAGUCC
rnacentral:rRNA from 1 species